rnacentral:tRNA from 1 species
GUAUGUGGCUCAAGCGGUAGCGCGCUCGCCUGGCAUGCGUGCGGCUUCGGUUCAAUCCUCAGCACCACAUACA